rnacentral:rRNA from 1 species
UACGAAGGGGGCUAGCGUUGCUCGGAAUCACUGGGCGUAAAGCGCACGUAGGCGGCUUCUUAAGUCAGGGGUGAAAUCCUGGAGCUCAACUCCAGAACUGCCUUUGAUACUGAGGAGCUUGAGUCCGGGAGAGGUGAGUGGAACUGCGAGUGUAGAGGUGAAAUUCGUAGAUAUUCGCAAGAACACCAGUGGCGAAGGCGGCUCACUGGCCCGUAACUGACGCUGAGGUGCGAAAGCGUGGGGAGCAAACAGG